rnacentral:rRNA from 1 species
UACGUAGGGUGCGAGCGUUGUCCGGAAUUAUUGGGCGUAAAGAGCUUGUAGGCGGUCUGUCGCGUCUGCUGUGAAAAUCCGGGGCUCAACCCCCGGACUUGCAGUGGGGUACGGGCAGACUAGAGUGUGGUAGGGGGAGACUGGAAUUCCUGGUGUAGCGGUGAAAUGCGCAGAUAUCAGGAGGAACACCGAUGGCGAAGGCAGGUCUCUGGGCCACUACUGA